AUGAAAGUAUUAAUUUGUUCGAUAUUUAAGAUUAAAUAUACAUAACGGUGAUAAAUAGCCCGAGCGGCGUUCCGUUAUACAGGGAACCGAUGGAAUGCCAUCCGCGACGACUACGACGGCAAACCGAAAAAAGCGGCGUGCGUGCAAUCGCAUCGGAACCAUCUCGUUUACCGUGACAAAACAAUGUACACGCACGUGAAAUGCGUUGCCGUAUUUGAACCUCAAUUAGAGGUGGCUGCGCUUGAAGUUCCAAUAGCACCGAAACCAACUCCGACCGCCAAUCCCUCUGGAAUGUUGUGCACAGUAAUGGCCACGACCAGGAGCAUGAUCCUCUUCCAUUGUCCAUGCUGGAUCUCCUCAAUGGCACAGCCACUUGAGAUUCCCUUAAAAGCCAUUUCAAGCUGAAUUGUAAUGAAAAAGGAAACUUACCCGUUCUACGAUGAGCACAGGUUCCCACAUCAGAAAACCCUUCAAUGACAGUCGGCA